rnacentral:rRNA from 1 species
AUGAUGCUACCAAAAGCUAUGGGGGGCAUGGGGUUUCGGGAUAUGCGGGCGUUCAACCAAGCGCUGCUGGCCAAGCAAGCGUGGCGCCUUUUGGACUGCCCGGACAGCCUUUGUGCCCAUUUAUUGCGAGCUAAAUACUACCCACGGGGUAAUUUACUUGACAUUGUUUUCUCCUCAAACUCGUCAGCGGUUUGGAAAGGUAUUAUUCAUGGGCUGGAACUUCUAAAGAAGGGUAUUAUUUGGCGUGUUGGAGAUGGCACCUUAAUCAAGACUUGGAGAGAUGCUUGGAUCCCGAGAGGACAUAAUUUUAGACCGGUCACUCCAAAGAGGAAUUGCCGGUUUAAUUGGGUGGCUGACUUUUUGAAUGAACACGGGGCAUGGAAUGUACAAAGGUUGAGGGAACACUUUUGGGAACUAGAUGUUCGUGAGAUUUUGAAGAUCCGCACUUCACCACGGAAUGGCCAGGAUUUCAUUGCUUGGUUCCCGGAGCGGAGUGGUCAAUUUUCGGUCCGGAGUGCUUAUCACCUUGCAACAGAGACUCAGUAUGCGUUGGGUUUAGGCUCUUCGAGUGGGAACCCCUCAGGGCGCAGGCCGAUUUGGCAGCGGAUUUGGAGUGCAAAUGUUCCUCUCAAAAUGAAAAUCAUGGCCUGGAAAGCUGGGUCGGGGGCGCUGGCCACGAACGUAUGCAAAAAGUUCAGACAUAUCUCUACACGGGAUAGUUGUCCGGUUUGUGGAAGGGGGCAGGAUACUAGCUUCCAUGCCCUGGUGUCAUGUGUGCAUGCAAGGGCAGUCUGGACACAAAUGCGAGAUAUAUGGCGGCUGCCCCACCAUGACUUGUUAAGGGACACAGGGAAGGACUGGCUGCUGAAUGUUCUGGCAAAUUGUGAUGACAUGAUGCGGGACUGCACAAUCAUGUUGAUAUGGAGGAUCUGGAACCUAAGAUCUGGAACCUAA